UACGUAGGGGCCUAGCGUUGUCCGGAAUCAUUGGGCGUAAAGAGCUCGUAGGCGGUUCGGCAAGUCACGUGUGAAAUCUCCACGCUUAACGUGGAGGCGCCACGUGAAACUGCCGUGACUCGAGUCCGGUAGGGGAGUGUGGAAUUCCCGGUGUAGCGGUGAAAUGCGCAGAUAUCGGGAGGAACACCAGUAGCGAAGGCGGCACUCUGGGCCGGUACUGACGCUGAGGCACGAAAGCGUGGGGAGCAAACAGG
rnacentral:rRNA from 1 species